CCAGUUUCCUCCCUCAGUCCAAAGACUUGUGUUGUAGGCUGAUUGGCAUUUCCAAAUUGUCUGUAGAGUGUGGGUGUGGGAGCAUGUGUGUGAUUGUGCCCUGCAAUGGGUUGGCACCCCUUCCAGGGUGUCCCCCGCCUUGUGCCCCAAGUUCCCUCGGAUAGGCUCUAGGUUCCCCCGUGACUGUAAAGGAUAAGCGGUACAGAAAACGAAUGGAUAUAUGGAUCUGCUGGUGUGUCUUAAACAUUUGUGAAGUGUGUAAGUCAGGCGGAUUUCGGGAUACAAAUCCUGCCUCUGCCCUAAGUGUGUGGAGUUUGCAUGUUCUCCCCAUGCACUGCGGGUUUCCCUCCGUGUACUCUGUUUUCCUCCCCUAGUCCAAAGGCUGAUUAGUGUUUAUAAAUUGUAUGCAAUGUGUGUGAAUGUGUGUGUGAUAUGCCCUGUGAUUGUAAAUGGUAAAUGGCACUUAUAUAGCAGCUUGUAACCUUAGCGGUUCUACAAUGCUCUUUACCCAUUCACACACACAUACUCACUCACACACCAAUAAAAGCAGAGCUGCCAUGCAAGGUGCUAGCCUGCAACUUGGGGUUCGGUGUCUUGUCCAAGGACACUUUGGCAUGUGGCGUCACGUGGGCCGGGAAUCGAUCCACCAACCCUUCGAUUACUGGACAACCCACUCUACCACCUGGAGCCUAUCCCCACAGCUGCCCCAGUGAGUUGGUACCCUACCCAGGGUGUAUCCUGCCUUGUGCCCCGAGUUCCUUGGGAUAGGCUCCAAACUCCCCAUGACUGUGAAGGAUAAGCGGUAUGAUGACUGCAGAUAGUAAAAAAGCUUGUCUCCGUCUGUCAGUCAAAAUAGAGACGGCUUAAAGAAGGACAACAUAAUGUGCAGUUCCCAAAUAAUUUUCCAGUAAAGUGCUUUGAGAGUGACACACUGGCAUCCAGUGACCACAAGUGAGUGAAAUGCUUCCAACCAAGCAGCAUGACAGAGUCUACAUAACUUUAUGAAUUGAAAAUGUAUUUUAUACAUGUUGAGGAAUUAAAAGUCUGUAGGAUUUAUUAAUUUUCAUUUAUUUAUCACAGGGUAAUUCGCUACUUGACUGAUAAAAUUGUUUUGUAUACUCCUUCUUACUGCAUCCAAGCUACCUAGUAAAAAGUACUGGCCAUUGAUGCUACUAAUAUGGGACAUGUUUCCCAAAAGCAUCGCAGCACAAACAUAAUUGUUAGAUGGUAGAGUGAGCACCGCAUUGAACACUCUCUCUCCCAGUUGAAAAAUUCUUAACUUUUGCAAUGCUUUUAGGAAACUCAACCCUGAUUAUUCCGUAAUGGCACAUCCCCAUUUUCUACAUUAUGGCAUGCCAAACUAGGCAGGUAUUUUGUAGAUGUAAACACAUUCACCGUUAG
ensembl:lncRNA